ensembl:lncRNA novel transcript
AAGGAACUUCCACUUCCAAGCCGUAGCUGGCUGCAUCCUCUUCAUGACUCUUGGGAAAAUAUUUUCUGUGGAGUCUAAAAGAAACAAAAAUACACCUGAAAAGAAAAAAAGGUAAGCAUUCCUUACAAAAGAGAAAAUUUCCCUUCCAUGUUAUGUGUCUACAGACAAAUAUUUUUCUUCACAUGCACUUUUGGAGUAAGGACUAUAUGCGUAGCUAUAGUUUACACCUGUAUAUACUCAGGAAGUAUUUGGAUUAUGAUGGUAUGAUGAUAGUUGUUAAAGAAAGUUCUUUUGCAUGUGAAAAAGAAAGGGAAGACAAGGCAAACAGCAGUCUGUUCAGCAUUAUCCUUUCAAUGAAUUCUACCCUUUUAUACAAUAAAAAGCUGUGGCUGUAUUAUAGGCCCUGGGUUAAAUAAAAGCAAACCACACUCUUUGUUCAAUAA